CGGGCUGAGGCGAGCCGAGCCCGGGCGGCGUCGAGCGGGGCGAGGGACGCGGGCUGGUGCCGGGGCCCGUGCCCACCGGCCCGGGGCGGCGAAAGCCGGGCUUACCCGCCGGGGAGGGCUCGGGGAAAAUAAAAUAAAAAAAAGGUUCAUAGUCUUGAGCUCGCCCCUGCGAGGAGCCGGUGCCGCGCCGCAGCCAUGGGGAACCGGGGGAUGGAGGAUCUCAUCCCGCUGGUCAACCGGCUGCAGGACGCCUUCGCCGCCAUCGGGCAGAACGCCAACCUCGACCUGCCGCAGAUCGCCGUGGUGGGGGGGCAGAGCGCCGGCAAGAGCUCCGUGCUGGAGAAUUUCGUCGGGAGGGACUUUCUGCCACGUGGAUCUGGCAUCGUAACCAGACGCCCUCUGGUCCUGCAGCUGGUAAAUGCCAGCACAGAAUAUGGCGAGUUCCUACACUGCAAAGGAAAGAAAUUCACUGAUUUUGAGGAGGUCCGUUUGGAGAUUGAGGCUGAAACGGAUCGUGUUACUGGCUCCAACAAAGGCAUUUCUCCUGUGCCCAUCAAUCUUCGAGUCUACUCUCCCCAUGUCCUGAACCUGACCUUGGUGGAUCUACCGGGUAUGACAAAAGUUCCGGUAGGAGACCAGCCUCCUGACAUUGAGUUCCAGAUCAGAGAUAUGCUCAUGCAGUUUGUCACCAAAGAGAAUUGCCUCAUCCUGGCCGUAUCCCCAGCCAACUCCGAUUUGGCCAAUUCUGAUGCCCUGAAGGUUGCAAAGGAGGUGGAUCCUCAAGGGCAGCGCACUAUUGGAGUCAUUACUAAGCUGGAUCUUAUGGAUGAAGGAACUGAUGCACGAGAUGUAUUAGAAAAUAAAUUACUUCCUCUUCGUAGAGGUUACAUUGGUGUCGUCAACAGAAGUCAGAAGGACAUUGAUGGCAAGAAGGACAUUCAGGCAGCUCUGGCUGCAGAGAGAAAAUUUUUUCUCUCCCACCCAGCCUACAGACACAUGGCUGAUCGCAUGGGAACCCCCUACCUGCAGAAAGUAUUGAACCAGCAAUUGACCAACCACAUCCGUGACACCCUGCCAGGGCUGCGGAACAAGCUCCAAAGCCAGCUUCUCUCCAUUGAGAAGGAGGUGGAGGAGUACAAGAACUUUCGCCCUGAUGACCCUGCUCGCAAGACCAAAGCUCUGCUUCAGAUGGUCCAGCAGUUUGCUGUGGACUUUGAGAAACGCAUUGAAGGCUCUGGAGACCAAAUUGAUACCUAUGAGCUGUCAGGAGGAGCUAGGAUUAACCGCAUCUUCCAUGAGCGUUUCCCCUUUGAAUUGGUGAAGAUGGAGUUUGAUGAGAAGGAGCUGCGGCGGGAGAUUAGCUAUGCCAUCAAGAACAUCCAUGGUAUCAGAACCGGUCUCUUCACACCCGACAUGGCCUUUGAGACCAUUGUGAAAAAGCAGGUGAAGAAGAUUAAAGAACCUUGCCUGAAAUGCGUGGACAUGGUCAUAUCGGAGUUAAUCAAUACCGUUAGACAGUGCACCAAGAAGCUCAGCCAAUACCCCCAUCUGCGUGAGGAGAUGGAGAGGAUUGUUACUACUCACAUUCGUGAGAGAGAAGGCAGGACCAAAGAUCAGGUCAUGCUUCUAAUAGACAUUGAGCUGGCUUACAUGAACACAAACCAUGAGGAUUUCAUUGGCUUUGCCAACGCUCAGCAGAGGAGCAGCCAGAUGAGCAAGAAGAAGGCAGCUGGCAACCAGGAUGAGAUCCUGGUCAUCCGGAAGGGCUGGCUCACCAUCAAUAACAUUGGGAUCAUGAAGGGUGGCUCCAAGGAGUAUUGGUUUGUCCUGACAGCGGAGAACCUCUCCUGGUACAAGGAUGAUGAGGAGAAGGAGAAAAAGUAUAUGUUACCAGUGGAUAACCUGAAGCUGCGAGAUGUUGAGAAGGGGUUCAUGUCCAGCAAGCACAUCUUUGCUCUCUUCAACACUGAACAGAGGAAUGUUUACAAGGACUAUCGGCAGCUGGAGCUGGCCUGUGAGACCCAGGAGGAGGUGGAUAGCUGGAAGGCUUCCUUCCUUCGUGCAGGAGUCUACCCAGAGCGUGUUGGGGACAAGGACAAAGCCAGUGAAGCGGAGGAGAAUGGAUCAGACAGUUUCAUGCACUCCAUGGAUCCUCAGCUGGAGAGACAAGUAGAAACAAUCAGGAACCUGGUGGAUUCCUACAUGGCAAUUGUCAACAAAACCAUCAGAGACCUCAUGCCGAAGACAAUUAUGCACCUCAUGAUAAACAAUACCAAGGACUUUAUCCAUUCGGAGCUGCUGGCAAACCUGUACUCCUGUGGUGACCAAAAUACGCUGAUGGAGGAGUCGGCAGAGCAGGCCCAGCGCCGUGACGAGAUGCUGCGCAUGUACCAUGCCCUGAAAGAGGCCCUCAAUAUCAUCGGGGACAUCAACACCAGCACCAUCAGCACCCCUAUGCCCCCACCGGUGGACGACUCUUGGCUGCAGGUCUCCUACGUCCAGCCCCACGCCACAGAGGAGAGCUCCCGCUGUUCCACCCGCCAGACCUGGGUCUCGAGGCCCGGCUCCUGGGCCACCUCCUGCUGGUGGGUCCACGCUGGGUGGUGCCCCCCCUGUGCCCUCCAGGCCAGGUGCCUCUCCUGAUCCCUUUGGGCCCCCACCUCAGGUUCCUUCUCGGCCUAAUCGCGCUCCUCCUGGUGUUCCCAGAAUCACUAUCAGUGACCCCUGAGGACUGGCAGCCACGCAGAAGGGGCCCCGCCUCACCUACUCGACCUACCAUAAUCCGACCGGCUGAACCGUCCCUCUUAGAUUUAUAACUCGAGGCUGUAGACAGCUGGCGACGAAUGCCGUGCUGGCGGCUUCCCCAUCCCACCCUCCCUCCCUCCCACCCUCACUCCUCUCAUCCAUCCCACAUCUCUGCCUCCCACCACCCCUUCCCGGUGUGUCGUAAAGCACUUAGCCUAGUGAUCGAGCUCUUCGUCUCCACUCGUGCGUCCUGUAUUGCUUUGUGAGCGUAGAGUAGCCUUCAUUCAGUGGCACGGAUCCCUGAACUGCACAGGCUCCUUGGAGAGAUCAGCGCAGGGACGGCAUUAAGUCCAAGUGGUGGCUGCCCGUCCGGUUAUUUCACCUGCCUGGUCUUAGCCUGGAUAAGUGUCCUGCCUGCAUCAGUUAGCUGUAGCACCUAGGACUGAUCUGUAGCUAUUUUCUUUUCUUGUAGUUAAGAAAACAAAAGUGUGACUUAGAAGAAGAAAAAAAAAAAAAAAAUUACUGUCAAAACAUGUGACACCGUUAGGAACAGAUUAAAUGUCCUGUGUAGUAGUUUGACUUCUAAGGUGCAAAAAUUCACGUUGGGAACAGUGCAAUCAACCUUCUGUCAGUGAGUGAGGCAGGGAGAUGAAGAAGGGGGGAACUCAAUGGAUCGGCAUAGUCCUGCUAGAGUGAAGUCUGAGAUAGCGCACACACCUCCGCGUGCGGGGAGCACGUGGACCCGCUCGAAUGGAGCUCCCCAAAAAGCCGGGGAGAUCCUGCUGGGGACGCACUGGCUCCUGCCAGCAGUUGUCUCGCAUCAUCCUUUUUUGGCUGACUUUCCUGAACCCAGCAGGGAGAAGGGGAAUAGAUAACGCUGCUCCCCCCUUGCAAAUGGACAACCAAAUGUUUUCAGGGAGUUCGCUGUGUAAUGUUUUUGUUGAAAAUAUAUUUCCGCUUUGAAUAAGCACAUCUUUCAGUGGUUUUUGGGUACUGUGGUGACUUCUUCCGUAGCCUUUUCUUCUUGCAUGUGGAUGGUACGUGUUUGGGGAAACUUGUAACUAUUGUUGAUCACAACUCAUCUUAAGAUUUGAUUUUUACUUUUCAUGCUACAUGUAUUAAAAAAAAAAAAAAAAAAAAAAAAAAAAAAAAAAAAAAGACUUGAGAAUUAAAAAUAUAUCAACCCUGUUCAUCUCAGAUGUCAUGUCUCUACCAGAGCUAAAUGAGCCACCUGCGUUGCAGGCUUUCAACCAGGCCUGAUUCAGGUUUAAAUUAUCUCAUUUCAGUGCUAUUGCUCUUAAUUUCUGUUGUGGAUCCUCUGUUGUUCUGAUGCCGGUUCCUUUCUGUAUUUUUAACUAUUGUUUUACUACUUCUUCCCCUUUUCCUUCCCUUCCCCUUUUCCUUUUUUUCUUUUCUUUGUUUUUCUUGUCUUUAAACUCCAGCCGGCCGGGUAAGGCCAGUCCCUCCCGCCCAGAGAGCCCAAAACCACCAUUUGACAUGUAGGCCUGCUCCCUCUGAGACUCUUUGCCUGCCUCUUAGCUGUUCUGUCCUGGAAUGGUCUGACUCCAAUCUCUCACACUUGGCUUGUUUUGUUUGUAUUUUGUGACACACACAUAUCAAAUGUGAUUGUAGUGAAACUGUUUUGUUGGGUUUAUUUUUCUUCCCAGCUGCUUAAAGGAGUUAAACAAGUAUAUUGUAGUAAUGAGAAACAUAUCUUUACUGUUAUAAAUAUCUAUAAAUAUAUAUAUAAGAUGAAAAAUCUAUAUAUGUCCAGGUGUUUAAAGCCAUUUGUGCUUCCAUGUGGAUAUUAGGAAAUACUUAAGUAGGGAAAGAAUAUCUAUAUACAUAUAUAUAUACACACACAUCCAAAAAGUUAACCAAAUCCUGAUGUUGAGUUUUUGAGCUGAUUGUUAAAUUCUCUGCUGUGUGCAGUUGGGUUAUUGUAUUACCCCAGACUUGUGGGUGAACUGUCUCAGUGCUGGUAGUAGCUGUGCUGCAGUUUGUGAUCUACCUGUCACUCUUGUUUAUUGGAUGAAAUAAACUCUCAUUUCUGUAUAAUGAAGGUCUCCAUGACGAGAAUAAAACCAUCUCUCUUUCUCUUGCUC